AUUGAACGCUGGCGGCAGGCCUAACACAUGCAAGUCGAGCGGAUGAAGGGAGCUUGCUCCUGGAUUCAGCGGCGGACGGGCGAGUAAUGCCUAGGAAUCUGCCUGGUAGUGGGGGAUAACGUCCGGAAACGGGCGCUAAUACCGCAUACGACCUGAGGGAGAAAGGGGGGGAUCUUUGGACCUCACGCUAUUAGAUGAGCCUAGGUCGGAUUAGCUAGAUGGUGGGGUAAAGGCCUACCAAGGCGACGAUCCGUAACUGGUCUGAGAGGAUGAUCAGUCACACUGGAACUGAGACACGGUCCAGACUCCUACGGGAGGCAGCAGUGGGGAAUAUUGGACAAUGGGCGAAAGCCUGAUCCAGCCAUGCCGCGUGUGUGAAGAAGGUCUUCGGAUUGUAAAGCACUUUAAGUUGGGAGGAAGAGCAGUAAGUUAAUACCUUGCUGUUUUGACGUUACCAACAGAAUAAGCACCGGCUAACUUCGUG
rnacentral:rRNA from 1 species